AGUGUUUGUAAAACCUAGUUAGUUCAUGGAAAUCAAUAUUCUUUUCUGAAACCCCAUUUUGUACCCCAUAUCUGAUCUUGUCUGCUUCGUAUCUCUUUACAAUGUCAUGCCAGCCGCUUCCUUCUACUACUGUCUCUUUCCAUUUCUUAUGCUUAACAGCGGGAUAUCCAUCAGAGACAUCGCUUGUCCAUUUUUCCGAUGAAUUUACACAUUCCCAAAGAUCAGCAAUCCACAACCGCCUUUUCUUCUCGUCCCAGAAUGCAGGGUCAUUGGGCAACCAAGAUAGAUCAACAUUUCCAUUGUCGACAAACAAACAAAAAAAACAGUAUAUUAGUCAAGGAAAAAAAUUGUUGACAUAAGGUUAAACCAACUAGAAAGGUGAAGCAAAAAAUAAUUUGUAUCUUACAGCAAUGUCUCGUCAUUGAGAACUUUUAGAAAACACUCCAUUGAGCACUACGAUAGGGUAAGGGUCACAAUUGAAUUUCAACUCUUUUUUGUUUUUCCUUCAAGUUUGAUCUAGAAUUUUAACUUUGUUUUUGGUUUCCCUUAAAAAUUAGAAGCAAAUUCGUACUAGGGAAGAGAUUGAUCAAGUACUCAACGAGACUUUUUCCUAUCCUUGCUCGGGCCUCCGGUUGGCUUGCACCAGUUCUUUGUUCCAUUCGGUUCCUAUGUGGUCUGAAGAACAACGGUAGUAAUCUCGUUUCAGUUAUUUCUUGUGAUGAAAAAUGUAAGUUAUAGUUAUGGUAUAAGUAGUAGAAAACUAAUGAAAUUUUUGCAGGAUGAGGGUGAUUGAGCUUCUGUCCAAUUUCUAGGUGAUGUCGUCUCACCUCUGACACCAAUGAUGAGUGAGCUCUAGCAAUGGGUGAAUGCAGCAUGAGACUGAUAGGCUCAGUUCAGAUGCAUCUUUGUGAAAUUACAGAUUAAAGAAAUUGACACUCCCCUCCAUUGCUCUAUGAAAAAUCCAGUGGCUAUCAUUUUUCAUCUUCGAAUGUGAUAUGACGUGACUCCCUAGGCAGUUUGCUUGUGUUAGGAUCGUCACACACACAGGCACGAUUUACGAGUAUAAAACAGUAAAGAAAUCAACACAGAGAUAUACGUGGUUCUCCAAAACCAGGUACGUCCACGAGAGCAAGAGUGGCUGCUGUUCUUAUUAUCACAAUAUGGAAUAGGGUUUACCACAUAGAGUAUUUAUACCUACUCUAUUCUAACCCUAACCGGGUUUGACCUGUAUCCCAAAAAUACCCUUAUACGAUACCGUACCAUACUGCAGGGGGCUACGCCCCCCGCACCCCCAAUUACGGAACGCCUGGGUCUUUAGACCAGUCUACUUUCAUUGGAUCAUUAGUGAUGCCUUCUUUCUAAAACUUCUUAGUAUCUCUUCAUACUUAACAUGAGCCAUAGUUCUAGCAACUUGUCUGAAUGGAAGUGAAAAUUUUGCUCUUCUUCAUCUUUUUGUUGGCAUUUUGCUUGUUCGGAUGAUGUUGAGCCUGUUUCUGUCUCACAAGCAGAAGAUUAGAUCUAGAUUUUGUAAAAUGAUUACGUUGGGGAGGGGUGAACUUUUGGCAUGAACCAAGCCAUUUGCAUUUUUACCAAUUGAGCAAGACUAGAUGUUAAAUUUUUUGAUAACCGGAUGUUCAUGCCACCUGUCGCGUAAACACAAUUUCACCCAAUCCAAUGGCAAAGAAUGUACGGAAUCAAAUUUCCUACAUAAGGAAGCUCUAUUGGCUAAUCAAUGCUGGCAUAUUCUCAACGACCCAUCACUUCUUGUUUCCCAGGUUCUCCUACCCAAAUAGAGCUCACCCUCAGUCAUCUUGGGCUUGGAAGAGUAUUCUUUACGGUCGCGACCUCAUUGCUAAUCAAAUCUCUUGGACUGUUGGCAACAGUGAUUCUAUUGACGUCUACUCUGAUAUAUAGAUGGAUUCUGCGCUCUCAUCCCCUAAACCACAUUCUUCCAUUCACUGGUCCUUCUGACCAAAAAGUCUCCAGAAUCCUAGUCAACUCAGAGGACAGCAUGCAUUGGAAUCUGCCGAAACUCAGGGACCUUUUCCCAUCCUCGGUUAUCCCAAAAAUUCUCUCAAUCCAUCUGCCUUCUGUGCCUUGUCCUGAUAUCCUCAUUUAGCCCUCAUACAACCUCUGGCCGCUACAGCACAAAAUCAGGAUACAGCUGCCCAUACGACAUCAUCAAACGGAGCUCCUCAGUCAUUGCUGCUCCACCUCCACAUAUGCAUAAGGGAAUUAAUAUUUGGAAACACUUUGGCAUCUUGACUUACCUGAACGCAUCAAAGUUUUUAUAUGGAAAUGCUUAAAAGGUAUUCUUGCAGUUAAGAAAGGAUUGUCUUCCCGCUUACAUCACCUUUCGCCCCUUUGUCCCUUGUGCGAGGCUGUGGAAGAAACAAUUGAACACCUCUUCCUGCAAUGUCCAGUCACAAUUGAGGUUUGGAAUGGCACCCUUUUCCUGGACGCACCGGUACCCACUACUGAGGUUAUUGUCUUUAAGGACGACUGGCUUCUGGAUUGGAUUGUCACCCUCUAAACCUCUUCGACUGCCUCUGAGCGCUUCCAUCAUUUCAUGACAACCUUGUGGGCUAUAAGGAAAAUGCGCAACCCACAAGUUUUCUCGGCUGUCCCGUUUGACCCAAAUGUGACUCUCGCAAUGGCACCGGACGGUACUCUUUGGUUUAAACGCAUGUCUCUAUGGAUUGCCCAUGCAAAAACUAAAGUCUGGAUUUUUGAUUGGGUGAAUUCAAACGAAAGGAAGGGUUUUUGAUUGGGUGAAUUCAAUCCAAAGAAAGGGUUUUUGUCUACCUUACUUUUAUCGUUUUUAUUUAUAUCAAUUAUCAAUAACUCAAUCAUAAUGCAAUUAUCUCCAAGAAAAAAAAAAUGUCUGUUAUGGCUAAUACCUUUAGUUUGAUCGUCAUCUGUUAUGCUUAAUU